GACGAACGCUGGCGGCGUGCCUAAUACAUGCAAGUCGAACGCAGUGGGGACGGGUGAUUAACACGUGGGUAACCUCCCAUCAGAGGGGAUAACACUUGGAAACAGGUGCUAAACCGAUCCUGAUGGAUGAACCCGCGGUGCAUUAGCUAGUUGGUGAGGUAACGGCUCACCAAGGCCACGAUGCAUAGCCGACCUGAGAGGGUGAUCGGCCAAACUGGGACUGAGACACGGACCAGACGACUAGGGGAGGCAGCAGUAGGGAAUCGGCGGCAAUGGACGAAAGUCUGACCGAGCAACGCCGCGUGAGUGAAGAAGGUUUUCGGAGCGUAAAACUCUGUUGGGAGAGAAGCGGUAUCUAACCAGAAAGCCACGGCUAACUACGUGCCAGCAGCCGCGGUAAUUC
rnacentral:rRNA from 1 species